rnacentral:rRNA from 1 species
AGCUUCAAGAAUACGCGGAGGAGGUGGCCCGGGUCAGUGUCGGCGCCGUCCGGCGCGGGCCAUGGGCCCGCUUCCAAGUGCGUCUGCGCGCCGGCCACCCACGCCGGGUCCUUCAAGUGCCGCUUCCACCACACCAAUUCCCAGGGCCAUGGCCAGGGAAGCCGCCCUUCUUCGCCCCCUUCCCCGGUCGCGGCCAACGCGGUGCCGCGGCACCCGGCCUCGCCGUCCUCGUCCUCCAGCACCGUCGCGACCCAGUGA